rnacentral:rRNA from 1 species
AGCAGCCGCGGUAAUUCCAGCUCCAAUAGCGUAUAUUAAAGUUGUUGCAGUUAAAAAGCUCGUAGUUGAAUUUCGGGAUCAAUAUAUCGGUCGUGCCUUUGGUACGUACUGGUAUCAUUGAUUUCUCCUUUCUGACGAAUCAUGAUGUCAUUAAUUUGGUGUUAUGAGGAGUUAGGACUGUUACUUUGAAAAAAUUAGAGUGUUUAAAGCAGGCUCACGCUUGAAUACAUUAGCAUGGAAUAAUGAAAUAGGACGUUUGAUUCUAUUUUGUUGGUUUCUAGGAUCGACGUAAUGAUUAAUAGGGAUAGUUGGGGGCAUUAGUAUUCAAUUGUCAGAGGUGAAAUUCUUGGAUUUAUUGAAGACUAACUACUGCGAAAGCAUUUGCCAAGGAUGUUUUCAUUAAUCAAGAACGAAAGUUAGGGGAUCGAAGACGAUCAGAUACCGUCGUAGUCUUAACCAUAAACUAUGCCGACUAGGGAUCGGAUGAUGUUAAUUUUUUAAUGACUCAUUCGGCGCCUUA